GUAGGUGGCAAGCGUUGUCCGGAAUUAUUGGGCGUAAAGCGCGCGCAGGCGGUUCUUUAAGUCUGAUGUGAAAGCCCACGGCUCAACCGUGGAGGGUCAUUGGAAACUGGAGAACUUGAGUACAGAAGAGGAAAGCGGAAUUCCACGUGUAGCGGUGAAAUGCGUAGAGAUGUGGAGGAACACCAGUGGCGAAGGCGGCUUUCUGGUCUGUAACUGACGCUGAGGCGCGAAAGCGUGGGGAGCAAACAGGAUUAGAUACCCUGGUAGUCCACGCCGUAAACGAUGAGUGCUAAGUGUUAGGGGGUUUCCGCCGCUUAGUGCUGCAGCUAACGCAUUAAGCACUCCGCCUGGGAGUACGGCCGCAAGGCUG
rnacentral:rRNA from 1 species